UAUCAACCGAUUACAGUAGGAAUGUUUAACAUCAAAACCGGUAUUUACCUGCAUUGUAAUUGUUUGGAACGGCUCAUUUUAAAUAUGAAACUGUUGUAUAUUUGUCUCGUACCGCUCAUAUUGAUCAAUAUCCCUUCAGUCCGAAUGCAGUGGUAUAAUUUCUUCUCCUGGACAACCACGAAGAAGUACGAAAAAGUUUUACCAUCCCUCUUCUCAGUGAUACCAUGUGAGAAAUGCCCGAACGUCUACUUCCCUGUGUGUACCACACUGAACAAGACGUUCAUGAACAAUUGUCUGUUUCUAUGCUUGAAUCUGACCGAUCAUAAGGUUGUAUACCGGGGGAUUUGUCUUUGGUACUAGUGUUGUACUAGUGUUUGUGCUUAAUAAUAACUUUAUUACAUUUUAAUUUCACAUUGUACAACAAUGACAAAAUAAAUGAUGAACUCCUCCGUUUAUCUUACGAGUAAUUAGGUAUAGGGUUCAAAAAGUUUUAUUUUAUUAUUUUAUUAAAAUUCAUUUAUUUAUUGUAUCUUGUAGUAAAUUGUAUGUUAAAUGGUUGGUAAGUAAGCUAGAGCUAAACAUGUAAAAAAAAGCUUGAUAGUGUGGGAGUGUGAAACGGAACGCAAGGAAGGGAGAGAAUGGGAAUCCAAGCUGUAGGAAUUGAAAAGCAGUGGUAUUUCUCCAGCUUUAUUUGUAUUUUUCUGGGAUCAAGCCUUUUUUUUGUUUUUACAUUUUUAGCAUAUUGUCACUAAGCUGUAUGUUUUCCAAUUAAGUCUUAUGUUUUAAUUUUUAAUAACGUGUUUGUAACUUAAGUUAUCAUCAUGAGUAGGUACACACCUACAAUAAUCUUAAUGAUAAUUAUGAGGAAUAUUUCAAAACAGAACAUUGUUUUGGCUAAAAUUCCGGAGUUCCGGAUUUGGAACCCACUUGAUCUACCCGCGUUAAUAAAAUAUUCAAAUGUA